AUGCGAGAUCGCCCCAGCCCCGGGCAGCGCCAGCUGCGGCACGAGCCGAACUGCACACCUCAUUGCCGGGGCCGGGCGGCCGUGGCUGCUCCGCCCCCGUGGUUGGGAGCUGGGUCCGGUCGCUGGGCCCGGUCGCUGGGCAAGGCUUUCAGCUGCCGCGCCGCAAACUUGCUGGGAGCGAGCGGAGCACGGGCGGCUCAGCGAGGUUGCGGCCAUGGCGGCGUAGGGCGGGCAUCAAGCGCGGCGAAGGAUCCCGCGUCCGCCUGCGUGCAGCGAGCAGCCCACGGCGACUCCAGGAACCUCCAAGGUAGACCCAGAACCCCACUUCGGCUCUGCACUGAACACUGAACAGAGGCAGUAUGUGAUUAUAGAGGGAUGGUGACUAAAAGAUGGUGUCCUGGUCUCCUCAUCUCAGAGCAAGUGGAGUAGAACAGGAAAAGUUUCAGAGAAGGGCAACAAAAAAGAAGAAGAGCAGCAGGAUGCAGAAGACAUCCACGCAGCAGCAUCCAUACAAGAACAACUAACUAGAUGAGAGUUUCCAGACUGAAGGAGAAUGGCCAGAUGCUAAUACUAGGUGUUUAUGAAAUUAUAUGAGCUGUGAGGUAUGUGGAUGGGAAAUGAAUAGUCAGUGCCACCUAAUUUUAUAUUAGCAGAGAGAUGAAGUGAAACAGGCCGGGAACAGUUUUAAAGCUAGGAAAAUAUAUGUUUUGUUUUGUUUUGUUUUUUUGCAUAAUGUGUAAGUCAAUUCUGAAAUUCCUUGCCACAGCAUGCCAUGUGUGCUGUAUGGGUAUAAAGAGCUUCUGAACAAAUUUGGAAAAGGAGGUGGAAAAAAAAAGAAGAAAAUUAAAAAUAAAAAAAAUAAAAAUAAAAAAAAGAAUAAAAAA
rnacentral:lncRNA from 1 species